rnacentral:rRNA from 1 species
ACGGGUGAGUAAUACAUCGGAACGUAUCCUGGAGUGGGGGAUAGCCCGGCGAAAGCCGGAUUAAUACCGCAUACGCUCUGAGGAGGAAAGCGGGGGACCUUCGGGCCUCGCGCUCAAGGGGCGGCCGAUGGCGGAUUAGGUAGUUGGUGGGGUAAAGGCCUACCAAGCCGACGAUCCGUAGCUGGUCUGAGAGGACGACCAGCCACACUGGGACUGAGACACGGCCCAGACUCCUACGGGAGGCAGCAGUGGGGAAUUUUGGACAAUGGGGGCAACCCUGAUCCAGCAAUGCCGCGUGUGUGAAGAAGGCCUUCGGGUUGUAAAGCACUUUUGUCCGGAAAGAAAUCAUCGGGGCCAAUACCACUGGUGGAUGACGGUACCGGAAGAAUAAGCACCGGCUAACUACGUGCCAGCAGCCGCGGUAAUACGUAGGGUGCGAGCGUUAAUCGGAAUUACUGGGCGUAAAGCGUGCGCAGGCGGUGCUGUAAGACCGAUGUGAAAUCCCCGGGCUUAACCUGGGAACUGCAUUGGUGACUGCAGCGCUGGAGUAUGGCAGAGGGGGGUGGAAUUCCACGUGUAGCAGU